rnacentral:rRNA from 1 species
CUGUGGAAGAGACUGUCAAACUAGAAACCGGGAAGAGCUAGAAGUAUUUGUGGGGGAGCGGUAAAAUGCUAUAAUCCCAUAAAGACUACCAGUGGCGAAGGCGUCUAGCUGGAACGGAUUUGACGGUGAGGGACGAAAGCUAGGGGAGCGAACCGGAUUAGAUACCCGAGUAGUCCUAGCUGUAAACACUGCGAACUAGGUGUUGCAUAUUCUUCGGGAAUGUGCAGUAUCGAAGCGAAGGUGCUAAGUUCGCCGCCUGGGAAGUAUGGUUGCAAGACUGAAACUUAAAGGAAUUGGCGGGGGAGCACUACAAGGGGUGCAGCGUGCGGUUUAAUCUAAUUCAACACAGAGAAUCUCACCAGAAGCGACGGCAGGAUGAAGGUCAGGUUAAAGGCCUUACCUAACAGGCCAAGAGGUAGUGCAUGGCCGUCGUCAGCUCGUGCCGUAAGGUGUCCUGUUAAGUCAGGCAACGAGCGAGACCUAUACUUACAAUUGCUAACAAGCUUUGCGAUUGAGCACAUUGUGAGAACUGCCCUUGAAAAGGGGAGGAAGGUGUAGGCUACGGUAGGUCUGUAUGCUCCGAAUCUUCUGGGCUACACGCGCGCAACAAUGGUAGGAACAAUAGGAUGCAACUCCGAAAGGAGAAGCCAAUCCCCAAAAUCCUAUCCUAGUUCAGAUUGAGGAUUGUAACUUAUCCUCGUGACGCUGGAAUCCCUAGUAAUCAGGUGUUAUCAGCGCCUGGUGAACAUGUCCCUGCUCCUUGCACACACCGCCCGUCAAACCACCCGAGCAGGGUUUAGAUGAGGCUUAAUUUUUAAUUAAGUCAAAUCUAGACUCAGCGAGGAGGGUUAAGUCGUCACAAGGUAGCCGUAGGGGAACCUGCGGCUG